CUGCCCGUAGCUCAGUAGGAUAGAGCAUCUGCCUUCUAAGCAGACGGUCGCGGGUUCGAUUCCUGCCGGGCAGG
rnacentral:tRNA from 1 species